GAAGUUACGACGAGGAAAGUUUGCCGAAGUCUGGUGCCCACUGUUAGCGGUGGGUGUGCGUGUACUGUGUCGCUGCGUUUUUCUUCGGACGGGGUGAAGUGAUGGAGCAAAACCAUUCUCAGGAGAAAUGAGAAAAGCGUGCGUGCAUGAAACAAACGUACGAGUGUCUCAACAGAAAAUAUUUGCAAAAGCAGCCUCCAACGCAAAGAUUUGUUGCCGUCAACUUAGCGUGAACGAUCGUUGUCAGCAGUGAGGUAGCCGAGCGCCUAGCGGCGGUGUUCGAGCGUUGUAUAGCACCGUCGGUUGAUUGCUGCCCACUAGUGCUCACUGCAUGCGCAAGUUGGUAGACCAGUGCUGUGACACAAUUACGCAUAAGGUGUGCUGCCAGCGCUCGAUAUGCUUUCUCACAACACAGCUCCGCGCUGCUUUUCGAUUCUCGUGAUAUGUUACUAUUAAAAAUUCCCAAGACAGUGUUAAGAGAACCGUAAAACUAAGAAGAAAAAAACAAACAAACGAGAAGGUAGGCACAUCAGCUUGUGAACCCGCUCCUAAUACCUCUACAUGCGUCUGUUUGUAAAUGUGUGUGUGUGUUUCUUUUUUUUUUUGCAUUUGUCUAAUUUUUUAUUUCCCCCAUUUCGUUAUAUUUCAAAUUUUCUCAGUUUAGAGUUUGUGUGUGAAUAUGUGCCUGCUUCCAUGCGUGUUUGCGCUUACUCUUAUUUCUGCCCUUUCAUGUUAUGUUAGCAUUUGUUUUUGCAAGCUUUCUUUCAGCAAAGUCUUUUUACACAUAUUUAUGAACUCUUCUCAUUCAAAGCACCAACUCCUGUAAACAGCAGGACUGGCCUUUUCCAUCUCGUUAAAGCCUUUCUCUCACUGGUCUACCUCGUGCUAUCAAUCUGCCUCCUCGCUGUGUUUUCUGUGCUUGCUUCUUGUUGCAGCAAUGUGAUUAACUAACUUGCACAAAACAAAUUUCCAUCAGCUAUGAAAACAGAAGGGUUUACAGCCACAUUUUCUUAAAAGUGUCAUGUGGGUUGCAGAGUAACUUUGCCUCUUACCCCUCUUCAUGUUUAUGCACCAGUGGAUGUGGCAGCUCACCAGAAGUGCACAUGAAAGGUUGCCAUAUUAUGAAACAGCACCUUGAUACGGUCUGGCAUUUCUCACGCUUCCAGUCUUAGUAAACGGACGGUUUUGCUGCCUGUCAUAUAUGCUGGUACAAAUUUUCAAGACGACUAAUGGUAUGCAAUGGGGUGUCAUUUCCUGUCUGACGCUUUCAUCGUUGCAAAAACAUUUUUCAGUAUGGAGCCCAGAAAAGCAGUGCGCUGAGAGCUUUUGCAACUUUCACCAUUUAUUACUUCACCAAUGACAUUGUAGGGAUAUGACCAUCGCUAUGCCGACGGCUUCUGAAUUAAAGAAUUGCCUCAAUAAAGCACAUUCAACUUUAGUAAGCAUUUUUUAGUACAAACAAUGCUAGCGGAGCUAUUCCUGGUGAAUAAUUGGGCUUGCAUUCAUGUUACUUGCCCAGUCAGAUAAACAAAUUAAACAAUAGCUACGGCAUCACUGCGAUUUGAAGUGCAGACUGCUAGUGGUGCCUUUCAAGCGUGCCCUUGACUACUGCUAUUAACAGCUGCUCGAAUGAGUAUUUCGGGCCUUACUAAGCUAAUGAUGUUUGAUAAUUGUUCUCUUAUUCGCACUACUUGCCUGAGCCAGAUAAAUCCCAUAUAAAGAAUGCAGCUACAUGAAUGUGCUUCUUACAUGCAAGCUGCUAAAAGAGGCAGUCAGUUUCGCAUUGACUACUGCCAUUUCACCUACAAUGACUACGACAUGACUUCACUUUGAAGUGCAGACUCCUAACGGUGCCUUUAAAGCGUGCCCUUGACUACUGCUAUUAAUAGCUGCUCGAAUGAGUACUUUGGGCCUCACUAAGCUAAUGAUGUUUGAUAAUUGUUCUCUUUUCGGAUUACUUGCCUGAGCCAGAUAAAUCCCAAAUAAAGAAUGCAGCCACAUGAAUGUGCUUCUUACAUGCAAGCUGCUAAAAGAGGCAGUCAGUUUCGCAUUGACUACUGCCAUUUCACCUACAAUGACUACGACAUGACUUCACUUUGAAGUGCAGACUCCUAACGGUGCCUUUAAAGCGUGCCCUUGACUACUGCUAUUAAUAGCUGCUCGAACGAGUACUUUGGGCCUCACUAAGCUAAUGAUGUUUGAUAAUUGUUCUCUUUUCGUGUUACUUGCCUGAGCCAGAUAAAUCCCAAAUAAAGAAUGCAGCCACAUGAAUGUGCUUCUUGCAUGCAAGCUGCUAAAAUGGCAGCCAGUUUCGCAUUGACUACUGCCAUUUCACCUACAAUGACUACGACAUGACUUCACUUUGAAGU
rnacentral:lncRNA from 1 species